GCAGCUGGGGAGCUAGCGGUGCCCUGUACCUGCAAUCCGCUCUAGCAGGAGUGAUGCUAAUCCGAGGGUCUUGCAUUGUGAGGCUGCCCUUUAUAAGUGGCGUUGACGUCUGGGUCUUACGCAACAGGAAUCUGUGAACCGUGUCAGGUCAGGAAUGAAGCAGCACUAAGCAGAAGCUCUUGUGUGCCGUGAGGGUGCCUGGGCUGAGUUAACUGUAGAGGUAACGCUUGUGGUGGAGAUUCAAAGUGCGGCGCACG
rnacentral:SRP_RNA from 1 species